GUGGGGAAUAUUGGACAAUGGGCGCAAGCCUGAUCCAGCCAUGCCGCGUGAGUGAUGAAGGCCUUAGGGUUGUAAAGCUCUUUUACCUGGGAAGAUAAUGACUGUACCAGGAGAAUAAGCCCCGGCUAACUUCGUGCCAGCAGCCGCGGUAAUACGAAGGGGGCUAGCGUUGUUCGGAAUCACUGGGCGUAAAGCGCACGUAGGCGGAUUGUUAAGUCGGGGGUGAAAUCCUGAGGCCCAACCUCAGAACUGCCUUCGAUACUGGCAAUCUCGAGUUCGGAAGAGGUUGGUGGAACAGCUAGUGUAGAGGUGAAAUUCGUAGAUAUUAGCUAGAACACCAGUGGCGAAGGCGGCCAACUGGUCCGAUACUGACGCUGAGGUGCGAAAGCGUGGGGAGCAAACAGGAUUAGAAACCCGAGUAGUCC
rnacentral:rRNA from 1 species